UAGAUUCUCAUUGGUUGCACUAGGAGUGAGGAUUAAUGGCGACUGACAACUUCCAGGAAUACGUCAUUACAUCGCAUGUGUAGCUGCUUGAAGCUGGUUAUGCCAAACGUCAUUGGUAUCUUUUUUACGGUUAACCGUACGUAACUGCGCAGUGUGGUUUGACUUUCAAGAAGAAAUAUUUCAGUUCUAUCACCAAAUCUAUGGUAGUUGAGUAGGCGAAAUCUGCUCGCCAGUGCAAUGCUGACCAGCAUUAUGAACAUGUCAGCGUAGCUCCAGUAAAAUGAUGAAAUUACGCUGACGAUCGAAGUGAAUAAAGCCAUGAAAGUUGUGUACCCGAUUACCCCAAAUACGUGUCUGUGCGUCACCAUAAUAUAACGUCGCACCAGGUCGAAAGUUCCAGUAGAGCACUGCGAAGCGAUGUACAUUCUGUUUGCAUUUGAUAACACGUAUUCGACUGGAAAUAAGAAAAAUAAGUAGCAAUAUGCUCUCAACAUUGUUAUUUAUAACUAUAUUGUUAUGACAGUUCACUGUUCACUGAGAACACUAAUAAUCCCAUUCAUCUUACCAAUUCGAGAAAGUUGCUGACAUUUGUGGAAUAUAAAUUUAUAAAUAGGUUAAACACACUUCCUGCAUCUUAUGCUGAUUGCUAGUAAUUAUACAAAAUAAAUGUAAUGAAUUUGAGCUUUAUAUUUCACUUUCAAUGUGUGAUAAAAUAAUUAUGGCAGUUCAGUAAAAUUUUAGCUUUCCACGGCCGUGAAAAAUUGGAUUUUGGUGUUCUAUCCUGAGCAUGGUGGCAGUAGGUUUCUUUGUAAAAUCUGUAACUAUGUAUAUGACAACCCAGAAUACCACAAUCUAAAUAAACAUUAUGAAACUUAAA